rfam:Nicotiana sylvestris Nsyl_contig91484, whole genome shotgun sequence.
GGUGGUAUAAGAGAGCUUCCUUUAGUCCACUCAUAGGUAGACGAAGGAUUUUGAAUUAUCUGCCGACUCAUUCAUUCAAAUGCAGUAGGAAAUCUUUGUGUUACUACUACUGUGAAUGUGUGAAUGAUGCGGGAGAUAAAUUCAUCCUUCUUUAUCUUUGCUUGGACUGAAGGGAGCUCCCUUUUACCCUUAU